rnacentral:misc_RNA from 1 species
UGUGUGUGUGUGUGUGUGUGUUCAUUGCCUUCAUUGACAAAUUUUUAGAUCUGCCACUUUUACCAAUUAUCUUAGGCUUAUGGAACGCUAGCACCACUGACAACUAUAAUUUACCCUUUUUGUGUAAUUUGUCCUCUGAUUCAAUUAGAAGAAGAAAAUAUUGUCAUGGUAGGUCCAACAGUUGUGUAAUCUUAUUUACAACUCAACUCAAUUCAACUCA